CCUACCAAUGAUCAACCAAAUCACAUUCAAGGAGGGUGUUCCUAUGAUGUUGGUAUAUUAACCAUCCUCUAAUGAGACUAUUUUCAUUUGCCAAUUAAACCCCACCUGACGUCACUAAGAAGCCGUUUAUCAUAUUGCAAGCAUAAGUGACAUAUAAGACCAUCUGUCACGCAAGAACUACAGGCAAGAAAACAAUUGUAAUCUAUUUAAACGAUCAUUCCACAGUUACCUGUUUAAAUUUCAGUAGAAUUAGAGGAGAGAGAAAGUACAACAUUCAAGGAUGAAUUCUACGUACGUGGUAUUAGCCGUUGUAUGUCUUGCUUCGUUGCUGCUAGGAACAUGGUCUUCUCCAGCUUCCAAGCGCGUCUCUCAAACCUUUACCGACCAGUGGUGCCAGGACAAAUUUGGAGAGUAUGUAAUAACGUGUCCGCAGGCAUCCAACCAGUGCUGUCAUUUACUUGAACCAUACCACUUCACUCUCACCGGAAAUUUGUGUCAAGAUAUGAAUGAUACUGAAUGCAGGACCAAUAUGUUUACAACAUGCUGUAAGGACGGCAAAGAGAUGGCGGCCCGCUACGAUGAAAAUUCAAUGCAAAACAGUCUUUUCAUGUGAGAAUAUGUGGUUUUUUUAUGCUGUUUCAUGAACAUUACUUAUUUAUUAUUUCUCGUUGAUCAUAUAAAUUCUACAAAACUUUCUCAAAUAUA